CCUACGGGAGGCAGCAGUAAGGAAUAUUGGUCAAUGGAGGCAACUCUGAACCAGCCAUGCCGCGUGCAGGAAGACUGCCCUAUGGGUUGUAAACUGCUUUUAUCCGGGAAUAAACCUACUUACGUGUAAGUAGCUGAAUGUACCGGAAGAAUAAGGAUCGGCUAACUCCGUGCCAGCAGCCGCGGUAAUACGGAGGAUCCAAGCGUUAUCCGGAUUUAUUGGGUUUAAAGGGUGCGUAGGCGGCCUGUUAAGUCAGGGGUGAAAGACGGUAGCUCAACUAUCGCAGUGCCCUUGAUACUGAUGGGCUUGAAUGGACUAGAGGUAGGCGGAAUGAGACAAGUAGCGGUGAAAUGCAUAGAUAUGUCUCAGAACACCGAUUGCGAAGGCAGCUUACUAUGGUCUUAUUGACGCUGGGGCACGAAAGCGUGGGGAUCAAACAGGAUUAGAUACCCUGGUAGUCCACGCCCUAAACGAUGAACACUCGCUGUUGGCGAUACACAGUCAGCGGCUAAGCGAAAGCGUUAAGUGUUCCACCUGGGGAGUACGCCCGCAAGGGUGAAACUUAGAAGUAGUAGCGNGNGAGAGCGACGACGACGACGACGGAGGGAGGAG
rnacentral:rRNA from 1 species